UUAACCCUCCAUAAUAUCAUUGGAUGGCAUCAUUUGAUGAUUAAAACUAGAGGUGGUAAAAGAUGGGCAUGCGUCUGAUUAGUUAGUUGGCAGUGUAACGGACUACCAAGACGAUGAUCAGUAGGGGACCUGAGAGGGUGAUCCCCCACCACUGGCACUGAGAUACGGGCCAGACUCCUACGGGAGGCAGCAGUAGGGAAUAUUGGACAAUGGGUGAGAGCCUGAUCCAGCCAUGCCGCGUGCAGGAAGAAGGCGUUAUGCGUUGUAAACUGCUUUUGCCAGGGGAUAAAACGGUUCUGCGGAACUAAUUGAAGGUACCUGGUGAAUAAGCCACGGCUAACUACGUG
rnacentral:rRNA from 1 species